CGGCGGACGGGUGAGUAAUGUAUGGGGAUCUGCCUGAUGGCGGGGGAUAACUACUGGAAACGGUAGCUAAUACCGCAUAAUGUCUACGGACCAAAGCGGGGGACCUCCGGGCCUCGCGCCAUCAGAUGAACCCAUAUGGGAUUAGCUAGUAGGUAAGGUAACGGCUUACCUAGGCGACGAUCCCUAGCUGGUCUGAGAGGAUGAUCGGCCACACUGGGACUGAGACACGGCCCAG
rnacentral:rRNA from 1 species